CACUUUUUUAACUACAUGCCCACACAGUUAUAUAAUGAAUUAGGUAGGUCUCUCUGUAUUUGAGCCACAACAACUCAUCAAUGCGGACACAAUCCUGGUUUCCAUGGCAUUAAGAGAUCAGAGAGGACAAGACUACCUCCUGGAUGGAUGGGAAGCCAGUCCAAUGCAGAGCCUACCCCACCAGUCCCCAUUCUUGCAGCUGGAUGGUCUGGAGAAAUUGGGCUAAACCUGUUCACUCAAGGGCUGCUGGCACUGUGGUCUGUAGCUGUGUGUGCUGUGGAGAGGUAUCUGGUGGUAUGCUGACCUUUUAAAGCCCUCAGUUUUGGGAAGCAGCAUGCAGGAUCUGCACUCCUGAUCAUUUGGCUACAGUCACUGGGAUGGUCUCUUCUUCCUUUGCUGGGCUGGAGAGCAUACAAACUGGAUGGCAGCAGCUGGAGUUGUGCCCCCGUCUGGCACAGGCAAGACUUUAAGAGCCGUUGCUAUCUCUUGUCAGUCUUCGCCAGCUGCUUUCUCAUCCCCUUCUUUCACCUCACACUUUCUUACAGCACUUUACAACAUGGAAAGACAAUGUCCUGCAUGCAACUAAGCCCUGACCUCUGCAAUCAAAAAGAGAAUCAAAACUUCUGAAAUUUGCAAUCAUUAGGUUUGCAUGAUUUCUCUUUGGUAAAGUAGAAUGUGAAAUGAUGAAUAAGCUAUAUUGGGGAGAUAUAUGUAUUUCCCCUAAUAUAUAUAGGGGAUAUAUAUACUGUAUACGGGAAUAUUAACGGAGAUGCAAAAGGGUAAUGCUACAGAAACAUGAUUACAAGUUAUCUUGAGAUGUUAUCUUAUGAGGGAUAAAGAAACUAUUCCUUCUCCACCAAUAAGAUAAGACCACUUUAUCAGCCAUAUACAAUUUCUUGUAUUAGGAAUGUAUUCACAUACCCCAACUUGCUCUCCAUGAGACACACAGACAGGGAGAGAAGCUUGGGGUCAGAGCACAGGGUCAGACAUUUAUACUGCGCCCCUGGAGCAGUUGGGGUUAAGGGCCUUGCUCAGGGACCCACCAGAGUAGGAUUCCUCUGCCAGCCGUGGGAUAUGAA
rnacentral:lncRNA from 1 species